GACGAACGCUGGCGGCGUGCCUAAUACAUGCAAGUAGAACGCUGAAGCGAGGAGCUUGCUCUUCUUGGAUGAGUUGCGAACGGGUGAGUAACGCGUAGGUAACCUGCCUUGUAGCGGGGGAUAACUAUUGGAAACGAUAGCUAAUACCGCAUAACAAUGGAUGACACAUGUCAUUUAUUUGAAAGGGGCAAUUGCUCCACUACAAGAUGGACCUGCGUUGUAUUAGCUAGUAGGUGAGGUAAUGGCUCACCUAGGCGGCGAUACAUAGCCGACCUGAGAGGGUGAUCGGCCACACUGGGACUGAGACACGGCCCAGACUCCUACGGGAGGCAGCAGUAGGGAAUCUUCGGCAAUGGGGGCAACCCUGACCGAGCAACGCCGCGUGAGUGAAGAAGGUUUUCGGAUCGUAAAGCUCUGUUGUAAGUCAAGAACGGGUGUGAGAGUGGAAAGUUCACACUGUGACGGUAGCUUACCAGAAAGGGACGGCUAACUACGUG
rnacentral:rRNA from 1 species